AUGCGCAGGCGCGAACAACGCCAAAUAUCUAUUGAUGCAAUAUUAAAAGCGGGAAAAGAAAGCGCCAGAAUGAAAAACGAACAGAAAUUAAUUGUCAAAAUAUAAAGUGUUAAUACUAUAAAGACUCGCCUGGUAAAGACUUGUCAUUCCAUUUCGCUGUAUUUCUGCUUGUGUUUGGUCAAUUUGAGUUUAUUACCCAAAUUGAACACUCGAUGAGUGAUAAAGAAAAUGGAAAUAGGAAGGGGUUAGUCGUUCUCUCAUUCGAGCUCUCGUUUGUGUUUUAUGUUUCAUCGUUUUUAUAAUACAAGAUUGUUCAUUACAUUUAAACCUGCAGUUUCUUUACCGGUUGUUAAUGUAUAAGACUUUUGUAUUUAGGCGUCGAAAGAAAUUGGUCAACAUCAUUUCAAAUUUGGCCAAAGAACAAUUGAAUAAAAGCAGUGAGGAAAGGGUUAUUGAGG